GGCUGUGAGGGUGAUCUGGCUGUGACAUCUGUCACCCCAUUGAAGCCAGGGCUGACCUGGCUGGCUAGGCAAGUGUCCGCCUCCUCCCUUACCAAUCCAUGCGCAUCCCUCCCCAAGGUGCGAGUUUGGUCAGAGAAGAGGAACUUCCCCCCAGAGGAGAGGACCGGUCUUUGGUCGAGGGUCAAGGGUAUAUGAGUAGCUAUACUCCCCUGCUAGAACCUCCAAACAUGCUCUCAAGAAUGCAAAAGAUCAACAACAAGCAAGACAAACAUAAAGCGCAAAAUGAGAGACGUUUCUCUGCCAAAUGCCUUUCUCA
rnacentral:snRNA from 1 species